rnacentral:tRNA from 3 species
GCCGGAGUGGUGAAAUCGGUAGACACGCAUGCUUCAGGAGCAUGUGCCUAAUCGGCGUGGAGGUUCGAGUCCUCUCUCCGGCACCA